CUCCUUUUUUUAUAUUUUUUAUAUUUUUUAAUGGUUGUUUAUUCUCUCUCUUUCCCUUCCCAACGCACGCCUCUUCAUCUUCUCUCCCCUAAUAUUUUGGACCCCUUCUCCUCUUCUCAACGUUCGACCUUUCAUCUCCCUCAAUCCCUUUUUUCCUCCUCUUGAUUGGAGUUGGGCAUCAUCUAAUUAACUUCUCUCUGCGGUGAGUGUCACACGUCUUUGCCUCCUUCGACGGCGUCGUAUCAGUGGCGAAGGUGGUGAACGUGAUGGCGGUAGAGACCAAGGCGUGGGGACGGUGGCAGAGGCAUAUGCAAUGGCGGUGGAGAUCGAGUUGGCGGCGGCAACAGCAGUGGCGAGUCUUGCCCUCGAAGACCAACAUCAAGUGAGAGAAUUAGUGAAGAAGAGAUUACCUUUUUGAUGAAAGGAGAAGAUCCUUAUGAUGAUGCUGUUGUACUAAAAGUCUUCUAUCCAGAUAUUAAGUUGCUGCUGGUAAUAGAGGGGCCAGAUGGAUAAUGGCGGCCCUACCAGUAUCAUAUAAGCAAUUGUUCACCGACAUACUUGGAGUUCUUGCCCUUCUUCUUCCUAAUUACGGCGCAAUGUUCGGUUCUGAUGGCUUGUAUGUGGGAUGUGCUGAAAUAAAAGUUGAAAAUAUUGAUGGAACUGAAGAGGUUUUUAAGUGGUUUGGUCAGAAAUGCAUUAAUGUUGAGUUAGCAGAGUAGAAAGCCGCUCAUGAAGCAAUUAUAUGCUUGAAGAAAGCACUUAAUUUCAAUGUUGCUGAUAUUAACUAUGAUGACUUAAUGGUUUAUAAAUCUUUAUACGAACAGCUGUGUGCCAACCACAACCAACUCCAGUUCGACGACUAUUUUCUAAAAGAAUGUUACAGCUAUACUCUCUGUGAGGUUGGGCGCCUUCAAAAUGAGAAUACGUGGCUCGGACAACAAGCCGACCACGCUGCAGAGUUGCUGUGGCCCACUACAAUUAAUAAUCAUCGUGGCAAUAUGUCAGAGGAUGGGAGUUCGGGUGUUUAGAAUUACUGAUAAUCUUUUAAGUCUCAUAGUCUGUCUGUUUAAUAUUAUGUCAUGGUCUUUGUUGUUUUAUGUUCUGCAACUUCCUUCCUUUGUUGUGCAGUGCCGUGAUAGUCUGUCUGUUUAAUAUGAUGUCAUGGUCUUUAUUGUUUUAUGUUCUGCAAUUUUCUUCCUUUGCUUUGCAGUACUGUAAAGAUAUGUUGAUUUCCCUCUGACGCUUUAAGUAUGAUGUUUUCUGAAAUUUCUAAUA